rfam:Marine metagenome 1096626368853, whole genome shotgun sequence.
CAUUGCAGGCAACCGAGCCAGCGAUGGUUAGGAAAGUCCAUGCUAGCACAGGCUGCGAUCGCCUGUAGUGAUUGUGAUAGAGGAAACCAUAACUCUAUGCACCCGAGAGGGUGACGGCUGAGAAAGAGGCUUAUCAAGUCUUGAGUAUCUUUAAAAGUGCCACAGAGACGAGCUCUUUUAGCAAUAAAAGAGGUGGAACGGGUAAACCCCGCAAGCUAGAAACCCAAAUUUUGGUAGGGGCACUUGGCGUGAGAAACUGAACUUAACGCCGAGGUACGAUUUUGUACAGAUAAAUGGUUGCCACCCUUUUUAAAGGGUACAGAACAUGGCUUAUGCA